rnacentral:rRNA from 1 species
UACGAAGGGGGCGAGCGUUGUUCGGAUUCACUGGGCGUAAAGGGUGCGUAGGCGGUCGGGUAAGUCUGACGUGAAAUCUUCAAGCUCAACUUGGAAACUGCGUCCGAUACUAUUCGGCUAGAGGAAUGGAGGGGAGACUGGAAUACUUGGUGUAGCAGUGAAAUGCGUAGAUAUCAAGUGGAACACCAGUGGCGAAGGCGAGUCUCUGGACAUUUCCUGACGCUGAGGCACGAAAGCCAGGGGAGCAAACGGG